rnacentral:misc_RNA from 1 species
GGAAGGAUCAUUAUUCACACUUGACAAAAAACGGUGGGGGGCGGAAAGGCUGGCACCUGUGUUGGUCGAUCCAAGCUUCACUCGUUUUUUAUCAUUAACCACUAGUUGAAACUGUUGCUAAACAUCACGACAUGGCGCAGGCAAGACUUCGGUCCCAACUGCUACAUGGCGUCUUUUUUUCACCACGUUGUAAAAAAUGUCUAAACUAUUAUGGAAAAAAUUAAAUUUACGUACAACUCUUAACAACGGAUAUCUAGGCUCUCGUAACGAUGAAGAACGCAGCGAAAUGCGAUACGUAAUGCGAAUUGCAGAAUUCAGUGAAUCAUCAAAUCUUUGAACGCAUAUUGCGCUCUUAGGUAGACCUAGGAGCAUGCCUCUCUGAGCGUCGUCUUCAACAAAACUCGCCUGCGUGCUUUCGAGCAUAAGGGCGGAGAAUGAGUGUCACAUCGUCCCCUAUGGAGGGUGUGUCGCUUGAAGUACAAUGCGGUCGCAACUUGCUAGUCGAAAGGCUCACACAGGUCGAGUCUCGAACUGGCAUAUGUUCGAUAAAAAUGAAUUCCGAGCCCAUUCGUGGGUGAAGAUUCAUUCCUAUCUGACAUGUGCUAGGAUGAGUUCGAUACUUUUGGGCUUGGUCGCAAGACCUAGACUGGUGGGUCGGGAUCGGCACAAAGGAAUUUUAAUAUUAACAACUUAUGACCUCAGAUGAAGCAAGAUUACCCGCCGAAUUUAAGCAUAUUAUUAAGCGGAGGAAAAGAAACUAACAAGGAUUCCCUCAGUAACGGCGAGUGAAGCGGGAAGAGCUCAAAGUUAAAAUCGGUGCUCUUAGCAGGACAUCCGAAAUGUAAUCUCGAGACACCGCGUCAGCGAUGACCUGGGCCUAAGUCUUUUGAAACAAGGCAUCAAGGAGGGUGAGAAUCCCGUCUUUGACCUGGAGAUCGUCGCGUACGAUGGGUGCUCAAAGAGUCGGCUAGCUUGGGAGUGCUGGCCUAAAUGGGUGGUAAAUUUCAUCUAAAGCUAAAUAUUGACGAGAGACCGAUAGCGAACAAGUACCGUGAGGGAAAGAUGAAAAGAACUUUGAAAAGAGAGUUAAAAAGUACUUGAAAUUGUUAAGAGCUAAGCACUGGAAACCAGUACUGCUUGUGUCUCAUUCCUCACUGACGGUGUCGAGAAUCAUUGUUGGGUUUCGUCAAAGGGCCCUCGUUGAUCCCGGCACCGGCAUGGAGCAGCUGAGAUGUGGGUGAGUCAAGAUGGAGUAGUUUCGCAGGAGAAAGCAGCUGGAAGAAGGUUUGCUUCGGCAGAUAACUAGCCAGCUGUGCUACUGUGGGGCUGCUUGAGGAAAACAAGCCGCGCCGUAAGGCGCAAGUGGUGGCUCCUGGGUGUGCUGGCUACUCACGGAAAAAUUCUGUGGGUCCCGGCGUGUUCACUGGGUUACCAUGGACGGCGGCUUCGUGAUCUUGAUAAAUGGUUUUCAUUGACCCGUCUUGAAACACGGACCAAGGAGUCUAACAUAUAAGCGAGUAUUAGGGUGUACAAACCCACUAAUGCGCAAUGAAAGUGAAGGUAACCAGUAGGUUACUGAGGUAGGAACCCUGGCGACGAGUUGGGGGGCACUAUCGACCGAUCGUUCAUUCAUGAAAGAUUUGAGUAAGAGCUUAUCUGUUGGGACCCGAAAGAUGGUGAACUAUGCCUGAACAGGGUGAAGCCAGGGGAAACUCUGGUGGAGGCUCGUAGCGAUACUGACGUGCAAAUCGUUCGUCUGAUUUGGGUAUAGGGGCGAAAGACUAAUCGAACCAUUUAGUAGCUGGUUCCUGU